rnacentral:rRNA from 1 species
CAGCCGCCGCGGUAAAACGGAGGGUGCAAGCGUUAAUCGGAAUUACUGGGCGUAAAGCGUGCGCAGGCGGUUAUAUAAGACAGAUGUGAAAUCCCCGGGCUCAACCUGGGACCUGCAUUUGUGACUGUAUAGCUAGAGUACGGUAGAGGGGGAUGGAAUUCCGCGUGUAGCAGUGAAAUGCGUAGAUAUGCGGAGGAACACCGAUGGCGAAGGCAAUCCCCUGGACCUGUACUGACGCUCAUGCACGAAAGCGUGGGGAGCAAACAGGAUUAGAUACCCCCGUAGUCCCUGUCUCUUAUAC